rnacentral:tRNA from 1 species
GCGGAGAUCGCCAAGCAGUAAGGCACGAGGCUGCAACCCUCGCAUCCUGGGUGCAAAUCCCGGUCUCCGCU